rnacentral:rRNA from 1 species
GACGAACGCUGGCGGCGUGCUUAACACAUGCAAGUCGAACGGAAAGGCCCUGCUUUUGUGGGGUGCUCGAGUGGCGAACGGGUGAGUAACACGUGAGUAACCUGCCCUUGACUUUGGGAUAACUUCAGGAAACUGGGGCUAAUACCGGAUAGGAGCUCCUGCUGCAUGGUGGGGGUUGGAAAGUUUCGGCGGUUGGGGAUGGACUCGCGGCUUAUCAGCUUGUUGGUGGGGUAGUGGCUUACCAAGGCUUUGACGGGUAGCCGGCCUGAGAGGGUGACCGGCCACAUGGGGACUGAGAUACGGCCCAGACUCCUACGGGAGGCAGCAGUGGGGAAUAUUGCACAAUGGGCGGAAGCCUGAUGCAGCAACGCCGCGUGCGGGAUGACGGCCUUCGGGGUGUAAACCGCUUUCGCCUGUGACGAAGCGUGAGUGACGGUAAUGGGUAAAGAAGCACCGGCUAACUACGU